UACGAAGGGGGCUAGCGUUGCUCGGAAUGACUGGGCGUAAAGGGCGCGUAGGCGGUUUGGACAGUCAGAUGGGAAAUUCCUGGGCUCAACCUGGGGGCUGCAUUUGAUACGUUCGGACUAGAGUGGGGAAGAGGGUCGUGGAAUUCCCAGUGUAGAGGUGAAAUUCGUAGAUAUUGGGAAGAACACCGGUGGCGAAGGCGGCGACCUGGUCCUUGACUGACGCUGAGGCGCGAAAGCGUGGGGAGCAAACAGG
rnacentral:rRNA from 1 species